UUCUGAACNCCCUUAGUCAGAAUCCGUGCUAGAAACGAUGAUGUUGGUGUCGCACAUUAGACUUGUGUUUAAAUAGAGCUUUGCUCGUGAACCAAAUAUGGUGGGCUGGGUUGUCUUUGUGGAAACGCUUAGGCGACUUGUCUACGAAUUGUAAUCAUAAUAUGGGCGGCGGUGAAUCCUUUGCAGACGACUUGAAUGGGAACGGGGUACUGUAAGUGGUAGAGUAGCCUUGUUGCUACGAUCCACUGAGGUUAAGCCCUUGU
rnacentral:rRNA from 1 species